CCUACGGGAGGCAGCAGUGAGGAAUAUUGGUCAAUGGGCGUAAGCCUGAACCAGCCAAGUCGCGUGAGUGAUGAAGGUUCUAUGGAUCGUAAACCUCUUUUAUAAGGGAAUAAAGUGCGGGACGUGUCCCGUUUUGUAUGUACCUUAUGAAUAAGGAUCGGCUAACUCCGUGCCAGCAGCCGCGGUAAUACGGAGGAUUCGAGCGUUAUCCGGAUUGAUUGGGUUUAAAGGGUGCGUAGGCGGCCUUUUAAGUCAGGGGUGAAAGCCGGUGGCUCAACCAUAGAAUUGCCGUUGAAACUGGGAGGCUUGAGUAUGUUUGAGGCAGGUGGAAUGCGUGGUGUAGCGGUGAAAUGCUUAGAGAUCACGCAGAACCCCGAGUGCGAAGGCAGCC
rnacentral:rRNA from 1 species